rnacentral:rRNA from 1 species
UAAAGAAUUUCGGUAUGGGAUGGGGAUGCGUUCCAUUAGUUAGUUGGCGGGGUAACGGCCCACCAAGACAACGAUGGAUAGGGGUUCUGAGAGGAAGGUCCCCCACAUUGGAACUGAGACACGGUCCAAACUCCUACGGGAGGCAGCAGUGAGGAAUAUUGGUCAAUGGACGAGAGUCUGAACCAGCCAAGUAGCGUGAAGGAUGACUGCCCUAUGGGUUGUAAACUUCUUUUAUAUGGGAAUAAAACGUUCCACGUGUGGGAUUUUGUAUGUACCAUAUGAAUAAGGAUCGGCUAACUCCGUGCCAGCAGCCGCGGUAAUACGGAGGAUCCGAGCGUUAUCCGGAUUUAUUGGGUUUAAAGGGAGCGUAGGUGGAUUGUUAAGUCAGUUGUGAAAGUUUGCGGCUCAACCGUAAAAUUGCAGUUGAAACUGGCAGUCUUGAGUACAGUAGAGGUGGGCGGAAUUCGUGGUGUAGCGGUGAAAUGCUUAGAUAUCACGAAGAACUCCGAUUGCGAAGGCAGCUCACUGGACUGCAACUGACACUGAGGCUCGAAAGUGUGGGUAUCAAACAGGAUUAGAUACCCUGGUAGUCCACACAGUAAACGAUGAAUACUCGCUGUUUGCGAUAUA